GAUAAUUUCAACUAUAAUUUAUAAAAUUACAGUUCGAUUAUUUUUUUAGUCUCGCAAUCAAAGUCUGUUAGUUUUUCUCAAGUCCACUAAGCAAAAUCUUUCCAACUAAGUCUCUAAGACUUAAUCAAUUUUACACGUCCUAUUUUAGGAUUAGACAGGCCUUAAUCUCCAAGUUUCUAUUUACAAGAAAUUUGUUACAAAGUCAUUAAUACAAUGGAUAAAGAAAUG
rnacentral:lncRNA from 1 species